GUCCCGCCCAUUGUCCUAAUGUAUCAUUUUACUAUCUCCUUCUCAUCCUUCUCUUCCUAUCUCCUUCAAUAUCAGCUCAAGAAUUAUCUGAUAAACUGCUCCACUAUGAGUUGAUUCAUAAAAAUGAUUUCCGUCACAAUGCCAUACCAGAGAAGCAAGAGGCUCCAACCGAUGCUGUCAAACUAGUCCAACAGGUUCACUUCUACGCACUGAA